CCUACGGGAGGCAGCAGUGAGGAAUCUUGGUCAAUGGGCGCGAGCCUGAACCAGCCAAGUAGCGUGCAGGAUGACUGCCCUACGGGUUGUAAACUUCUUUUAUAAAGGAAUAAAGUGAGGCAAGUGUGCCUUUUUGUAUGUACUUUAUGAAUAAGGAUCGGCUAACUCCGUGCAAGCAGCCGCGGUAAUACGGAGGAUCCGAGCGUUAUCCGGUUGUAUUGGGUGUAAAGGGAGCGUAGAUGGGUUGUUAAGUCAGUUGUGAAAGUUUGCGGCUCAAACGUAAAAUUGCAAUUGAUACUGGCAGCCUUGAGUACAGUUGAGGUAGGCGGAAUUCGUGGUGUAGCGGUGAAAUGCGUAGAUAUCACGAAGAACUCCGAUUGCGUAGGCAGCCUACUAAGCUGCCACUGACAUUGAUGCUCGAAAGUGUGGGUAUCAAACAGGAUUAGAUACCCCAGUAGUC
rnacentral:rRNA from 1 species